CAUUAGCUUGCUUUUGAAGAUCAGCGGCGGACGGGUGAGUAACACGUGGGCAACCUGCCUGUAAGACUGGGAUAACUUCGGGAAACCGGAGCUAAUACCGGAUAAUCCUUUCCCUCUCAUGAGGGAAAGCUGAAAGACGGUUUCGGCUGUCACUUACAGAUGGGCCCGCGGCGCAUUAGCUAGUUGGUGAGGUAACGGCUCACCAAGGCGACGAUGCGUAGCCGACCUGAGAGGGUGAUCGGCCACACUGGGACUGAGACACGGCCCAGACUCCUACGGGAGGCAGCAGUAGGGAAUCUUCCGCAAUGGACGAAAGUCUGACGGAGCAACGCCGCGUGAGCGAUGAAGGCCUUCGGGUCGUAAAGCUCUGUUGUCAGGGAAGAACAAGUACCGGAGUAACUGCCGGUACCUUGACGGUACCUGACCAGAAAGCCACGGCUAACUACGUGCCAGCAGCCGCGGUAAUACGUAGGUGGCAAGCGUUGUCCGGAAUUAUUGGGCGUAAAGCGCGCGCAGGCGGUUCCUUAAGUCUGAUGUGAAAGCCCCCGGCUCAACCGGGGAGGGUCAUUGGAAACUGGGGAACUUGAGUGCAGAAGAGGAGAGCGGAAUUCCACGUGUAGCGGUGAAAUGCGUAGAGAUGUGGAGGAACACCAGUGGCGAAGGCGGCUCUCUGGUCUGUAACUGACGCUGAGGCGCGAAAGCGUGGGGAGCGAACAGGAUUAGAUACCCUGGUAGUCCACGCCGUAAACGAUGAGUGCUAAGUGUUAGAGGGUUUCCGCCCUUUAGUGCUGCAGCAAACGCAUUAAGCACUCCGCCUGGGGAGUACGGCCGCAAGGCUGAAACUCAAAGGAAUUGACGGGGGCCCGCACAAGCGGUGGAGCAUGUGGUUUAAUUCGAAGCAACGCGAAGAACCUUACCAGGUCUUGACAUCCUCUGACAACCCUAGAGAUAGGGCGUUCCCCUUCGGGGGACAGAGUGACAGGUGGUGCAUGGUUGUCGUCAGCUCGUGUCGUGAGAUGUUGGGUUAAGUCCCGCAACGAGCGCAACCCUUGAUCUUAGUUGCCAGCAUUAAGUUGGGCACUCUAAGGUGACUGCCGGUGACAAACCGGAGGAAGGUGGGGAUGACGUCAAAUCAUCAUGCCCCUUAUG
rnacentral:rRNA from 2 species